GCGGCCCGCGCGAGCGGCGCGCCGUGUGACGUCACUGCCGCCAUGGCCGACAUGGCGGAUCUGUUCGGCAGCGACGCGGACUCGGAGCCCGAGCACAAAGAUUCCGAUUCUGGCUCUGAUUCCGAUUCCGACCAGGAGAACGCUGGCUCUGGGAGCAAUGCUUCUGGCAGCAACAGCGACCAGGAUGACGACAGGGAGGCCGUAAAACCCAGCAACAAGGAGUUAUUUGGAGAUGACAGCGAGGAUGAAGGGGCAUCCCAUCACUCGGGGAGCGACAACCACUCCGAGAGAUCCUACAACCGCUCGGAGGGCUCGGGGCACUCGGAGCACGAGGACAACGAGCAGUCGGACGGGGAGCAGCACAGCGCCUCCGAGGCUGCCCACGAUGAUGAUGAGGAUGAGCGUGAGCACGGCUCGGAGGAAGGCAGCCAUCGUUCUGAGGGAGAGGGUUCUGAGAAAGCGCACUCGGAGGAUGAGAAGUGGGGCAAGGAGGACAAAAGUGACCAGUCUGAUGAUGAGGAGAGACAGCAGAACUCUGAUGAUGAGGAGAGACAGCAGAACUCUGACGAUGAAGAGAAGGUGCAGAACUCGGAUGAAGAUGAAAGGCCACAGGUGUCUGAUGAUGAGGAAAGACUCCAGAACUCAGAUGAGGAGAAAAUGCAGAACUCUGAUGAUGAGGAAAGGCCACAGGCCUCGGAUGAGGAGAAGAUGCAGAACUCAGAUGAUGAUGAAAGGGCCCAGCGGUCUGAGGAGGAGAAGAUUCAGAACUCUGAUGAUGAGGAAAGGGCCCAGCACUCUGAUGAGGAGGAGCAAGAGCACAAAUCUGAGUCUGCAAGGGGCAGCGAUAGCGAGGAUGAAGUUCUGCGAAUGAAGCGGAAGAAACCGAUUACAUCAGAUUCAGAAGCGGAGAGUGACACAGAAGGGCAGAAAGAGCAUGCAGAUGUCAUGGAUCUGUUUGGAGGCGCCGAUGACAUUUCCUCAGGGAGUGAUGGAGAAGACAAGCCACCAACCCCAGGACAGCCCAUUGAUGAGAAUGGACUGAGUCAAGAACAGCAGGAAGAAGAGCCUAUUCCAGAGACCAGAAUAGAGGUAGAAAUACCAAAAGUAAACACAGACUUGGGUAAUGAUUUGUAUUUUGUGAAGCUGCCCAACUUCCUCAGUGUGGAGCCCAGGCCUUUUGAUCCCCAGUAUUAUGAAGAUGAAUUUGAAGAUGAGGAGAUGCUUGAUGAAGAAGGUAGAACUAGGUUAAAACUCAAGGUAGAAAACACAAUACGAUGGCGGAUGCGACGAGAUGAGGAAGGGAAUGAGAUCAGAGAAAGCAAUGCACGGAUAGUUAAAUGGUCAGAUGGAAGCAUGUCCCUCCACUUGGGCAAUGAGGUCUUUGACGUGUACAAGGCGCCGCUACAAGGAGAUCACAAUCACUUGUUCAUCAGACAAGGGACAGGCCUGCAAGGACAGGCUGUGUUCAAGACCAAGUUAACCUUCAGGCCACACUCUACAGACAGUGCCACUCACAGAAAGAUGACUCUGUCUCUGGCAGACAGAUGUUCAAAGACCCAGAAAAUUCGUAUUUUGCCAAUGGCAGGCCGUGAUCCAGAGUCUCAGCGCACAGAAAUGAUCAAGAAAGAAGAGGAGAGGCUGAGGGCGUCCAUCCGGCGGGAGUCGCAGCAGCGGCGGAUGCGGGAGAAGCAGCACCAGCGCGGGCUGAGCGCCAGUUACCUGGAGCCCGACCGCUACGAUGAGGAGGACGAGGGGGAUGAUGCCAUCAGCCUGGCAGCUAUCAAAAACAGAUACAAAGGUGGCAUCAGAGAGGAACGGGCUAGAAUCUACUCUUCUGACAGUGACGAAGGCUCAGAUGAAGAUAAAACACAAAGACUACUCAAGGCAAAGAAACUUAAUAGUGAUGAGACAGCAAGUAGUUUCACUGUUGCUGCAGUUAAUGGGGAUAUUCUGCUGAACAGGAAGAUGACUCACUGAACAAUAGCCCAGCUAGAUUACAAGAGAAUGUUUGUUCUGAGGAAGAAGCUAUCAUUGAGAUUCCCACCCCUGUUAAUUUCUGUUUUCCAUGCUUAAAAUUCCUUCGUAACUGCGAUUCUCCCGGAAGGUGAACCUUCUGGAAAAAGAAAAGCAGAUGAUGAUGACAAAGCAAGUAAGAAGCCUAAGAAAUACGUGAUCAGUGAUGAAGAGGAAGAAGAUGAUGAUUAAUAUUAAGGAAGCGCAGCAGUUGACUUUUUUUGUUGUUAUUUUUUCUAUAUAUAUGUUUAUAUAUAUUGUACAGUUCUGUUAGAGCACAGAUGUAAGUAACCAUAAGGGGCAUAUUUUGAUAAAGGAAAAUUCCUAAGUCUGCGUUUCUGCUGUGAAUAAAGUUUUUUUGACUUC